rnacentral:rRNA from 1 species
CGAAGCGUACGAUUGGAUUGCACGUCUAAGCAGUAAGGCUGAGUAUUAGGCAAAUCCGGUGCUCAUUAAGGCUGAGCUGUGAUGGGGAGAAGACAUUGUGUCUUCGAGUCGUUGAUUUCACACUGCCGAGAAAAGCCUCUAGAUAGAAAAUAGGUGCCCGUACCGCAAACCGACACAGGUAGUCAAGAUGAGAAUUCUAAGGUGAGCGAGCGAACUCUCGUUAAGGAACUCGGCAAAAUGACCCCGUAACUUCGGGAGAAGGGGUGCUCUUUAGGGUUAACGCCCAGAAGAGCCGCAGUGAAUAGGCCCAAGCGACUGUUUAUCAAAAACACAGGUCUCUGCUAAACCGUAAGGUGAUGUAUAGGGGCUGACGCCUGCCCGGUGCUGGAAGGUUAAGAGGAGUGGUUAGCUUCUGCGAAGCUACGAAUCGAAGCCCCAGUAAACGGCGGCCGUAACUAUAACGGUCCUAAGGUAGCGAAAUUCCUUGUCGGGUAAGUUCCGACCCGCACGAAAGGCGUAACGAUUUGGGCACUGUCUCAACGAGAGACUCGGUGAAAUCAUAGUACCUGUGAAGAUGCAGGUUACCCGCGACAGGACGGAAAGACCCCGUGGAGCUUUACUGUAGCCUGAUAUUGAAAUUCGGCACAGCUUGUACAGGAUAGGUAGGAGCCUUUGAAACGUGAGCGCUAGCUUACGUGGAGGCGCUGGUGGGAUACUACCCUAGCUGUGUUGGCUUUCUAACCCGCACCACUUAUCGUGGUGGGAGACAGUGUCAGGCGGGCAGUUUGACUGGGGCGGUCGCCUCCUAAAAGGUAACGGAGGCGCUCAAAGGUUCCCUCAGAAUGGUUGGAAAUCAUUCAUAGAGUGUAAAGGCAUAAGGGAGCUUGACUGCGAGACCUACAAGUCGAGCAGGGUCGAAAGACGGACUUAGUGAUCCGGUGGUUCCGCAUGGAAGGGCCAUCGCUCAACGGAUAAAAGCUACCCCGGGGAUAACAGGCUUAUCUCCCCCAAGAGUUCACAUCGACGGGGAGGUUUGGCACCUCGAUGUCGGCUCAUCGCAUCCUGGGGCUGUAGUCGGUCCCAAGGGUUGGGCUGUUCGCCCAUUAAAGCGGUACGCGAGCUGGGUUCAGAACGUCGUGAGACAGUUCGGUCCCUAUCCGUCGUGGGCGUAGGAAAUUUGAGAGGAGCUGUCCUUAGUACGAGAGGACCGGGAUGGACAUACCUCUGGUGUACCAGUUGUCGUGCCAACGGCAUAGCUGGGUAGCUAUGUGUGGACGGGAUAAGUGCUGAAAGCAUCUAAGCAUGAAGCCCCCCUCAAGAUGAGAUUUCCCAACUUCGGUUAUAAGAUCCCUCAAAGAUGAUGAGGUUAAUAGGUUCGAGGUGGAAGCAUGGUGACAUGUGGAGCUGACGAAUACUAA